AUAUACAGCACAAAGCAACCCGGAGAUUGCUUAUCCUCAGAACUCGUUGAAAUGAAUGGACCUGAGUUAUAUAGGGGAACCCUAAUCGUGCCCGCUACUUAGAAGAGAGGCCAUACAGGCUGUGGGCUGUUGCUUGGAUGCAGUGGUGAGAUGGAUGAGGGAAAACAAGCUCAACUUGGACCCUGGCAAGAUGGAGGCACUGUGGGAAGUUUCCAGCAGAGGCAAUAAGGAAGCAGAAUCCAACUACAGUGCGAAAUUGCCACAUACAUAAUCUCUGCUUCACGCCCAUGCGACAGACUUGACCUAGUGGCUGGAAUGCAUUCAGAACAUCACAAGACUUAAGUUUGGACACACCCGUCAUUUUCCUUCCUCUGUUGCUACCACUCUGCUGCUUCUGAAUAAUAAUAAUAAAAAGACAGAUAUGUCUUCUUCUUCUUGUUCUUCUUUUCCCCAGAAGUCCAAAAGGCUUUUUUCUCCACUCCGUUUAGCACAUGUCAUUUUCUUCACAGACAACAGUUGUAAAUGUUUUUAACAAGUUACAGGCUAUGCUCAUUCCUGUUCUUGGCUGUUUAUACUUUAUAAAAUCCUGUAAACUGUA